CUUGGUCAUUUAGAGGAAGUAAAAGUCGUAACAAGGUCUCCGUUGGUGAACCAGCGGAGGGAUCAUUACAGAGUUGCAAGACUCCCUAAACCAUUGUGAACCUACCUUCUACCGUUGCUUCGGCGGGCGGGCCCAGCGCCCCCCCGGCCCCCCGCGGGCGCCCGCCGGAGGAUACCCAAACUCUUUGACAUUAGUGGCCUCUCUGAGUAUUCUUUACUGAAUAAGUCAAAACUUUCAACAACGGAUCUCUUGGUUCUGGCAUCGAUGAAGAACGCAGCGAAAUGCGAUAAGUAAUGUGAAUUGCAGAAUUCAGUGAAUCAUCGAAUCUUUGAACGCACAUUGCGCCCGCCAGUAUUCUGGCGGGCAUGCCUGUUCGAGCGUCAUUUCAACCAUCAAGCCCCCGGGCUUGUGUUGGGGACCUGCGGCUGCCCGCAGGCCCUGAAAACCAGUGGCGGGCUCGCUAGUCACACCGAGCGUAGUAGCAUACAUCUCGCUCAGGGCGUGCUGCGGGUUCCGGCCGUUAAACAGCCUCUGCGCUACACCCAAGGUUGACCUCGGAUCAGGUAGGAAUACCCGCUGAACUUAAGCAUAUCAAUAAGCGGAGGA
rnacentral:rRNA from 1 species